rnacentral:rRNA from 1 species
GGACCCGCACAAGCGGUGGAGCAUGUGGUUUAAUUCGAUGCAACGCGAAGAACCUUACCAAGAAUUGACAUGCUGCGAACGUUUACGAAAGUAAAAAGUCUAUUAACUUAGUUAAUAGCGCAGACACAGGUGGUGCAUGGUUGUCGUCAGCUCGUGCCGUGAGGUGUUAGGUUAAGUCCUGCAACGAGCGCAACCCUUGUCUUUAGUUAUAUUCUAGAGAGACUGCCGGUGAUAAACCGGAGGAAGGUGAGGAUGACGUCAAAUCAGCAUGCCCCUUACAUCUUGGGCGACUCACGUGCUACAAUGGUCGGGACAAAGAGAUGCUACCCUGCGAAGGCAAGCUAACCUCAAAAACCCGAUCUCAGUUCGGAUUGCAGGCUGCAACUCGCCUGCAUGAAGUUGGAAUCGCUAGUAAUCG